rnacentral:lncRNA from 1 species
AAUGUUGUUGAGUUGGUCAUCUGAAAUUCCCUGCUCGCAUUCGGUGCUGUGAAACUGUUGUGUUUGGACGACUUGCUCCCGUUUUCGCCGGCUAUUCAUCCAAUUUAUCUAAAAUGUGGUGGAUUUGGCCGCUAGUUGCAUUUCUUUACUUGGCGAUGUUUUUUUUACGCUACUGUAAGGUAAAUCGGUUCAGACUUGGAGCCAGGAGAAGUGUACUCCCCAUAGACCAGAUAAGAUCAUUGAUUGCCACGGCGCAAUCCCGACUGCGAAGGGACAAGGUCAGUCGAUUUAGCAGAGGAGGGGAGCUCUCCUUCACCACUUCCAUUAGAAGACGAGGCAACCCACUAGCCUUUCUUGUCGUAUGCGUUGUAACCAACGGAAGAAACUAUGCAGCCAGGAUAAGAAACCUAGUGCUGCGCUUAACAAGAUACCUGAAGAGGUUAUUUAAGGAAUUAAAGAUUAGGGUCGUGAUCAAGUUUAGAAAUUAAAUUGAGCUUCACCUCGAAGCAGACACUUUUUUUGUCCGUUGUCGUAUAACAAAUUGACUUCAUUUUGGGUAGUUAUGCAUAUCCAAGGCUUCAUUUAAAUCCAUUUUAAAUAAUUAAUCUAUUUUCUUAAAUUAGUUGAGUUCAUUUAGUUUUAAAUCAUAGACAACCCUCGGGAAGCAAGGUCCGGUACCGAAAAACUACUCAUCGAGCAGUCUAGUAGCAAAUUGUGGGAUAGUCCUGUUUAUAUUAGAUGGGUGUGUCGUGGAUUCCUGGCUCCGUCUGUAAAUCUCUAAUAUCAAAAUAAUUUUAAAUCAUGUAAAGCUACAGUAUCUCUACUUUUAGUCUAAUUGGCAAAGAUUUUUUUACGUAAAUAAAGGAUCCUGUAAAUAUCC